AUUGAACGCUGGCGGCAGGCCUAACACAUGCAAGUCGAGCGGAUGAAGGGAGCUUGCUCCUGGAUUCAGCGGCGGACGGGUGAGUAAUGCCUAGGAAUCUGCCUGGUAGUGGGGGAUAACGUCCGGAAACGGGCGCUAAUACCGCAUACGUCCUGAGGGAGAAAGUGGGGGAUCUUCGGACCUCACGCUAUCAGAUGAGCCUAGGUCGGAUUAGCUAGUUGGUGGUGUAAAGGCCUACCAAGGCGACGAUCCGUAACUGGUCUGAGAGGAUGAUCAGUCACACUGGAACUGAGACACGGUCCAGAAUCCUACGGGAGGCAGCAGUGGGGAAUAUUGGACAAUGGGCGAAAGCCUGAUCCAGCCAUGCCGCGUGUGUGAAGAAGGUCUUCGGAUUGUAAAGCACUUUAAGUUGGGAGGAAGGGCAGUAAGUUAAUACCUUGCUGUUUUGACGUUACCAACAGAAUAAGCACCGGCUAACUUCGUG
rnacentral:rRNA from 1 species